UUCUGUUGCGUCUUCUUUGAUUAACGUACCGAAAGUGAAAGUGCACGCAGAAUUGCAGCUUGUAGCGCCGUUUGUUUGGCGCUAAGGCAGCAGCGACCACUGAAAUUCCCCGAGUUCCCUGUGCCCGUACGCUGCGCGGGAGCCCAAAGAUGCAGUAUGGAGCGUGCACCACGUCCUCUGUCGCACCGAACGGUCUAAUCCUGAUAUUAACGCACUCUCUGCCAUGGUCCGCUUGUAAUUCCACAAAAACAGGUUUCCCGUGCAGCACCAGCUGUCGAGGCACUUACGAACCGCAUGCAAGCAGUGGGAGGCCGCAUUUCUGCACAAGGAGUUGCUGACUAGGCACAGCAAGAUUCACCAGGGCGUCCGAAAACUGCCCCAAGGCUCUCUUCCAGUGGGGCUAUCUCGUGGAGCAUGAGAGGAUCCACACGGGAGAGCGCCCCUUCACCUGUCCCGUCUGUGACGAGAAGUUCGUGCAGCUAUCCCACUUGAAUGUGCACAGAUAUCGAACAGGCCAAUAACUGCUCGUGACUGUCUGGGUUGUUGUGUUUCGUCCCUGUUUGGCUAUGACAUGACCUCACUGGUGGGAUGUCAGUGAGGCAUGAACAGGCACAAGAGCAUCAUGAGGCUGUGCCUGCCCUGGAGUGUGUAGAUGGAGUCUGCAAUCAAGCAUUAGCCUUGUGUUUGCCUUGUGUUUGCCUUGUGGUAUGAUUCUCAUAACGUCCUCGCUCAGAAAGAUUACGUACCUAAUUCUUUGUAUACAGACCAGUAAAGUAAGUCACCUAGUGUCAUUCAUGUAGGUAUUAUGGUUGUCUUAAACCUUAAUCACCUUUCUACCCGUGUUUAAGUCAAAAGGUUUUCCAUCGAAUGGCAUAAUAUGUUCUUCCAAACAGACAUGACUUUGCUGUCUUCAGCUGAUGAUACAUAGAGCCAGUGGUCGAUGGCUGUGACGAUGUGGUUCAGCUGUGUUGUGAGGCAGUGUGUAGUGGUUAGCGGUUCUGUAUUGGGACCCUCAGUUUUCACGCACUUGCAAUCUUCCCACAGUACAACCCUUGCUCUUACACACAUA
rnacentral:lncRNA from 1 species